GAUUAGUGGCGAACGGGUGAGUAACACGUGAGUAACCUGCCCCUGACUCUGGGAUAAGCGUUGGAAACGACGUCUAAUACUGGAUAUGACUACUGGUCGCAUGGCCUGGUGGUGGAAAGAUUUUUUGGUUGGGGAUGGACUCGCGGCCUAUCAGCUUGUUGGUGAGGUAAUGGCUCACCAAGGCGACGACGGGUAGCCGGCCUGAGAGGGUGACCGGCCACACUGGGACUGAGACACGGCCCAGACUCCUACGGGAGGCAGCAGUGGGGAAUAUUGCACAAUGGGCGAAAGCCUGAUGCAGCAACGCCGCGUGAGGGAUGACGGCCUUCGGGUUGUAAACCUCUUUUAGUAGGGAAGAAGCGAAAGUGACGGUACCUGCAGAAAAAGCACCGGCUAACUACGUGCCAGCAGCCGCGGUAAUACGUAGGGUGCAAGCGUUGUCCGGAAUUAUUGGGCGUAAAGAGCUCGUAGGCGGUUUGUCGCGUCUGCUGUGAAAUCCCGAGGCUCAACCUCGGGCUUGCAGUGGGUACGGGCAGACUAGAGUGCGGUAGGGGAGAUUGGAAUUCCUGGUGUAGCGGUGGAAUGCGCAGAUAUCAGGAGGAACACCGAUGGCGAAGGCAGAUCUCUGGGCCGUAACUGACGCUGAGGAGCGAAAGCGUGGGGAGCGAACAGGAUUAGAUACCCUGGUAGUCCACGCCGU
rnacentral:rRNA from 2 species